GUUAGCAUUCUCUUCUACUUUCAGGUUCUGCUGCUUGUGCACUGUUUAUCAACUUGCACAACAGUGUAGAUUGAAUUUCCAUACUUGUCUUCAGAUCCUCUGAAAGCAAAGCUAGCAGCAGAUAUUGUGGUUCCAUUCAGGGAUUGAGUACAUCAAGACAAUAACAUAUUCCCAAAAUAUUGGCCUAGAAUUGGAAUGCAAGUGUGGGGGGAAAGCCAUUAAAUGAAAAUUAGAUUUUACUCUAGAAGCUUUGGAGGAAAGUUGUUCAGAUUUCCCAGAAUAUUGUUUAGAGCUUAACCCACUUAGUGGGUAGUGGUUAAAAAUUAGGCCAAUAUCCUAUUGGGAAGAGCAGACUCAUUCAUUGUCCUAACUGAUUAUAGGCCAGUAUCUUUGCUUGAGUAAUCACUACUUCUGAUUUCUAAGAAUAAGGUGGUACCUUAAUCUAGGCCUUUUACUCAGCACUUAUAUCUUGAAAGGAUUAAAUUGAUGU
rnacentral:misc_RNA from 1 species